rnacentral:rRNA from 1 species
GGUAGAGUUUGAUCCUGGCUCAGAUUGAACGCUGGCGGCAUGCCUUACACAUGCAAGUCGAACGGCAGCGCGGGAGGGGGCAACCCCAACUGGCGGCGAGUGGCGAACGGGUGAGUAAUAUAUCGGAACGUGCCCUGGAGUGGGGGAUAACGCAGCGAAAGUUGCGCUAAUACCGCAUACGAUCUAAGGAUGAAAGCAGGGGACCGCAAGGCCUUGUGCUCCUGGAGCGGCCGAUAUCUGAUUAGCUAGUUGGUGGGGUAAAGGCCUACCAAGGCAUCGAUCAGUAGCUGGUCUGAGAGGACGACCAGCCACACUGGAACUGAGACACGGUCCAGACUCCUACGGGAGGCAGCAGUGGGGAAUUUUGGACAAUGGGCGCAAGCCUGAUCCAGCAAUGCCGCGUGAGUGAAGAAGGCCUUCGGGUUGUAAAGCUCUUUUGUCAGGGAAGAAACGGCACGCUCUAAUACAGUGUGCUAAUGACGGUACCUGAAGAAUAAGCACCGGCUAACUACGUGCCAGCAGCCGCGGUAAUACGUAGGGUGCAAGCGUUAAUCGGAAUUACUGGGCGUAAAGCGUGCGCAGGCGGUUUUGUAAGUUUGUCGUGAAAUCCCCGGGCUCAACCUGGGAAUGGCGAUGAAGACUGCAAGGCUAGAAUCUGGCAGAGGGGGGUAGAAUUCCACGUGUAGCAGUGAAAUGCGUAGAGAUGUGGAGGAACACCGAUGGCGAAGGCAGCCCCCUGGGUCAAGAUUGACGCUCAUGCACGAAAGCGUGGGGAGCAAACAGGAUUAGAUACCCUGGUAGUCCACGCCCUAAACGAUGUCUACUAGUUGUCGGGUUUUAAUUAACUUGGUAACGCAGCUAACGCGUGAAGUAGACCGCCUGGGGAGUACGGUCGCAAGAUUAAAACUCAAAGGAAUUGACGGGGACCCGCACAAGCGGUGGAUGAUGUGGAUUAAUUCGAUGCAACGCGAAAAACCUUACCUACCCUUGACAUGGCUGGAAAUUGCUGAGAGAUCGGUGAGUGCCCGAAAGGGAGCCAGUACACAGGUGCUGCAUGGCUGUCGUCAGCUCGUGUCGUGAGAUGUUGGGUUAAGUCCCGCAACGAGCGCAACCCUUGUCAUUAGUUGCUACGAAAGAGCACUCUAAUGAGACUGCCGGUGACAAACCGGAGGAAGGUGGGGAUGACGUCAAGUCCUCAUGGCCCUUAUGGGUAGGGCUUCACACGUCAUACAAUGGUACAUACAGAGGGCCGCCAACCCGCGAGGGGGAGCUAAUCCCAGAAAGUGUAUCGUAGUCCGGAUUGCAGUCUGCAACUCGACUGCAUGAAGUUGGAAUCGCUAGUAAUCGCGGAUCAGCAUGUCGCGGUGAAUACGUUCCCGGGUCUUGUACACACCGCCCGUCACACCAUGGGAGCGGGUUUUACCAGAAGUAGGUAGCUUAACCUGAUGGAAACUGAAGGAGGGCGCUUACCACGGUAGGAUUCGUGACUGGGGUGAAGUCGUAACAAGGUAACC